rnacentral:rRNA from 1 species
CGCGUGAGGAACCUGCCUUUCAGUGGGGGACAACAGUUGGAAACGACUGCUAAUACCGCAUAAAGCUUUUUGAUGGCAUCAUUAAAAAGCCAAAGAUUUAUUGCUGAAAGAUGGCCUCGCGUCUGAUUAGCUAGUUGGUGAGGUAACGGCCCACCAAGGCGACGAUCAGUAGCCGGUCUGAGAGGAUGAACGGCCACAUUGGGACUGAGAUACGGCCCAGACUCCUACGGGAGGCAGCAGUGGGGAAUAUUGGGCAAUGGGGGAAACCCUGACCCAGCAACGCCGCGUGAAGGAAGAAGGCCUUCGGGUUGUAAACUUCUUUUACCAGGGACGAAAAAAGUGACGGUACCUGGAGAAAAAGCAACGGCUGACUACGUGCCAGCAGCCGCGGUAAUACGUAGGUUGCAAGCGUUGUCCGGAUUUACUGGGUGUAAAGGGCGUGUAGGCGGAGAUGCAGGUUGGGAGUGAAAUCCAUGGGCUCAACCCAUGAACUGCUCUCAAAACUGUAUCCCUUGAGUAUCGGAGAGGCAAGCGGAAUUCCUAGUGUAGCGGUGAAAUGCGUAGAUAUUAGGAGGAA